GAUGAACGCUAGCGAUAGGCUUAACACAUGCAAGUCGAGGGGCAGCGAGGGUAGCAAUACCUGUCGGCGACCGGCGCACGGGUGAGUAACGCGUAUGUAACCUGCCCGCAACAGGGGGAUAACCCGGCGAAAGUCGGACUAAUACCGCAUAAAACAGGGGUCCCGCAUGGGAAUAUUUGUUAAAGAUUUAUCGGUUGCGGAUGGGCAUGCGUACCAUUAGGUAGUUGGUGAGGUAACGGCUCACCAAGCCUUCGAUGGUUAGGGGUUCUGAGAGGAAGGUCCCCCACACUGGUACCGAGACACGGACCAGACUCCUACGGGAGGCAGCAGUGAGGAAUAUUGGGCAAUGGGCGAGAGCCUGAACCAGCCAAGUCGCGUGAAGGAUGACUGCCAUAUGGGUUGUAAACUUCUUUUACAAGGGAAGAAAAUGAGAUACGUGUAUUUUAUUGAAUGUACCUUGGGAAUAAGCAUCGGCUAACUCCGUG
rnacentral:rRNA from 1 species